rnacentral:rRNA from 1 species
AGCGAAUGCUGGCGGCAGGCCUAACACAUGCAAGUCGAACGAACCCUUCGGGGUUAGUGGCGGACGGGUGAGUAACACGUGGGAACGUGCCUUUAGGCUCGGAAUAACUCAGGGAAACUUGUGCUAAUACCGAAUGUGCCCUUCGGGGGAAAGAUUUAUCGCCUUUAGAGCGGCCCGCGUCUGAUUAGCUAGUUGGUGAGGUAAUGGCUCACCAAGGCUACGAUCAGUAGCUGGUCUGAGAGGAUGACCAGCCACAUUGGGACUGAGACACGGCCCAAACUCCUACGGGAGGCAGCAGUGGGGAAUCUUGCGCAAUGGGCGAAAGCCUGACGCAGCCAUGCCGCGUGGAUGAUGAAGGUCUUAGGAUUGUAAAAUCCUUUCACCGGUGAAGAUAAUGACUGUAGCCGGAGAAGAAGCCCCGGCUAACUUCGUGCCAGCAGCCGCCGUAAAAC